UGGUAAUGCCGGAUGCUCCGACUCCUCGCAUGGGGUGUCGGGAAAGAUUUCAUCGGUAUGGGAUGGGGUCGCGUCCUAUCAGGUAGUCGGCGGGGUAACGGCCCACCGAGCCUACGACGGGUAGCCGGCCUGAGAGGGCGACCGGCCACAUUGGGACUGAGAUACGGCCCAGACUCCUACGGGAGGCAGCAGUGGGGAAUAUUGCACAAUGGGCGCAAGCCUGAUGCAGCGACGCCGCGUGCGGGAUGACGGCCUUCGGGUUGUAAACCGCUUUUGAUCGGGAGCAAGCCUUCGGGUGAGUGUACCUUUCGAAUAAGCACCGGCUAACUACGUGCCAGCAGCCGCGGUAAUACGUAGGGUGCAAGCGUUAUCCGGAAUUAUUGGGCGUAAAGGGCUCGUAGGCGGUUCGUCGCGUCCGGUGUGAAAGUCCAUCGCUUAACGGUGGAUCUGCGCCGGGUACGGGCGGGCUGGAGUGCGGUAGGGGAGACUGGAAUUCCCGGUGUAACGGUGGAAUGUG
rnacentral:rRNA from 1 species